rnacentral:rRNA from 1 species
GUGCCUAAUACAUGCAAGUGGAACGCUGAAGGAGGAGCUUGCUUCUCCGGAUGAGUUGCGAACGGGUGAGUAACGCGUAGGUAACCUGCCUGGUAGCGGGGGAUAACUAUUGGAAACGAUAGCUAAUACCGCAUAAGAGUAGAUGUUGCAUGACAUUUGCUUAAAAGGUGCAAUUGCAUCACUACCAGAUGGACCUGCGUUGUAUUAGCUAGUUGGUGGGGUAACGGCUCACCAAGGCGACGAUACAUAGCCGACCUGAGAGGGUGAUCGGCCACACUGGGACUGAGACACGGCCCAGACUCCUACGGGAGGCAGCAGUAGGGAAUCUUCGGCAAUGGACGGAAGUCUGACCGAGCAACGCCGCGUGAGUGAAGAAGGUUUUCGGAUCGUAAAGCUCUGUUGUAAGAGAAGAACGAGUGUGAGAGUGGAAAGUUCACACUGUGACGGUAUCUUACCAGAAAGGGACGGCUAACUACGUGCCAGCAGCCGCGGUAAUACGUAGGUCCCGAGCGUUGUCCGGAUUUAUUGGGCGUAAAGCGAGCGCAGGCGGUUAGAUAAGUCUGAAGUUAAAGGCUGUGGCUUAACCAUA